rnacentral:tRNA from 1 species
GCAGCCGUGGCCGAGCGGUUAAGGCGACAGACUAGAAAUCUGUUGGGGUUUCCCCGCACAGGUUCGAAUCCUGUCGGCUGCG